AGGACGAACGCUGGCGGCGUGCUUAACACAUGCAAGUCGAGCGGAAAGGCCCUUCGGGGUACUCGAGCGGCGAACGGGUGAGUAACACGUGAGCAACCUGCCCUUAGCUCCGGGAUAGGCUCCGGGAAACCGGAAUUAAUACCGGAUACGACCACGGCCGACAUCUGCUGUGGUGGAAAGGAUUCCGGCUAAGGAUGGGCUCGCGGCCUAUCAGCUAGUUGGUGGAGUAACGGCCCACCAAGGCGACGACGGGUA
rnacentral:rRNA from 1 species